AGAGCGAACGCUGGCGGCAGGCUUAACACAUGCAAGUCGAGCGGGCGUAGCAAUACGUCAGCGGCAGACGGGUGAGUAACGCGUGGGAACGUACCUUUUGGUUCGGAACAACACAGGGAAACUUGUGCUAAUACCGGAUAAGCCCUUACGGGGGAAAGAUUUAUCGCCGAAAGAUCGGCCCGCGUCUGAUUAGCUAGUUGGUGAGGUAACGGCUCACCAAGGCGACGAUCAGUAGCUGGUCUGAGAGGAUGAUCAGCCACAUUGGGGACUGAGACACGGCCCAAACUCCUACGGGAGGCAGCAGUGGGGAAUAUUGGACAAUGGGCGCAAGCCUGAUCCAGCCAUGCCGCGUGAGUGAUGAAGGCCCUAGGGUUGUAAAGCUCGUUUUGUGCGGGAAGAUAAUGACGGUACCGCAAGAAUAAGCCAGGCUAACUUCGCGCCAGCAGCCGC
rnacentral:rRNA from 1 species